rnacentral:rRNA from 1 species
CACGUAGGGCGCAAGCGUUGUCCGGACUGACUGGGCGUAAAGCGCACGCAGGCGGCGCUGCGCGUGGGGUGUGAAAGCUCUUGGCUUAACUGAGAGAGGCCAUCCCAUACGGCAGUGCUCGAGCGGUGCAGAGGUCCGCGGAAUUGCCGGUGUAGUGGUGAAAUGCGUAGAGAUCGGCAGGAACACCCAGGGGGGAAACCAGCGGACUGGGCAUCAGCUGACGCUCAGGUGCGACAGCGUGGGGAGCGAACCGG